rnacentral:rRNA from 1 species
GAUGAACGCUAGCUACAGGCUUAACACAUGCAAGUCGAGGGGUAACGAGAGGAAAGCUUGCUUUCCUUGUCGACGACCGGCGCACGGGUGAGUAACGCGUAUCCAACCUGCCCCCAACUAGGGAAUAACCUUGCGAAAGUAAGACUAAUACCCUAUAAUUUCCUCAGAUGUCAUCUGACGAGGAAUAAAGAUUUAUCGGUUGUGGAUGGGGAUGCGUCUGAUUAGCUUGUUGGCGGGGUAACGGCCCACCAAGGCAACGAUCAGUAGGGGUUCUGAGAGGAAGGUCCCCCACAUUGGGACUGAAACACGGUCCAAACUCCUACGGGAGGCGGCAGUGAGGAAUAUUGGUCAAUGGGCGGAAGCCUGAACCAGCCAAGUAGCGUGCAGGAUGACGGCCCUACGGGUUGUAAACUGCUUUUAUACAGGAAUAAAGUUAGCCACGUGUGGUUAUUUGUAGGUACUGUAUGAAUAAGGACCGGCUAAUUCCGUGCCAGCCGCCGCGGUAA